rnacentral:rRNA from 1 species
UACGGAGGGAGCUAGCGUUGUUCGGAAAUACUGGGCGUAAAGCGCCUGUAGGCGGCCUGUCAAGUCCGGCCUGAAAGCCCCCCGCUCAACGGGGGAGGGUGGCUGGAAACUGGCAGGCUUGAGGGCGAGAGAGGAGGGUGGAAUUCCUGGUGUAGCGGUGAAAUGCGUAGAUAUCAGGAGGAACACCUGAGGUGAAGACGGGUUGCUGGGCUGACACUGACGCUGAGGCGCGAAAGCUAGGGUAGCAAACGGG